UUAUGGUGAUUGGGAUUUAGGUUUUUGAAUUCUCGAUCUCAUUGAAAGUUAGGAUAUUAAUUUGGGAUUAAUUUGUCAGGGUAUGAGAAUGUGAAAUUGGGGGUUAGGGUUUCUGUUUCUCAAUUUGAAUUUAUGUUACUAAUGAUUGUUGACAGAUUUCUUCUAUGUUUAAUAUGAGAUUGGAGAUAUAGUUAAAGGGAGGACGGUGAGCAUUGCGGAGGCACAGUUCGCGACAGCAAAAAUGUCACGGUACCCGGUCUCAAUUGUGGAUAGCCAAGCCAUUGCCCAGAACAUAAGGUCAGCCCUCGUCAAUUAAAGACUGCAUUUGUUACAUUCAAGGACGCCGAAGCUCUUGAAAUCGCCCUCUUGUUGUCGGUUUUUUUUCUUAAUUAAACUUGGGAACACUCGAGGUUUUAUCUCAUGUGCCUUAUCAGAUUACAGCCAUCAGAGCAGGCUUCUUCUUCAAUGGAGCAACAAUGGUUGAUCAGAUUGUGACUAUCUGUUGAAUGACCAAAUAAUGAGAUGCCAGUAAGUUUACUUGAAAGUUGUCUGCAAUUUGUUGUUUCCUUUGGCCAAAACUUGCAGUUUAUUAUUGCAAUUUAUGCAGGAAGUAAAAAUGAUGAAAAGUGUUGUUUGUGCUGCAUUUGCUGAAAGAGUUUCAUCAAAUGCUGAGGUAGCUAAUAACACCACCACACAUCUAACACUUUUAAGAAUUGUAACCUGUUGAAAACAAAUUCUAUACAGGGAAGUAAGUACCUUUUUGCUGUAUGUGAGAUUUUGCCUGGAAAUGGAAACAAGUGUAGAGAACUUAUGACAAUAUUUUAGGGUCUUUAUGUAGGUGAAUGUUUAAUUCUUUGGGCUUUUCAGUGACAGAAGGAUGAUUGAAAUU